UAUUGGCUAGCCAAUAGUAUAAAUGGGUUACCAGGCCUUUGAUGUUGUGGGGUUACAGAGGAUGAUCAUCCAGACUGGGACUCAGACGCGGACCAGCCUCGUAGAGGAGGCAACAGUGAGGAAUAUUCGACAAUGGGCGAAACCCUGAUCCAGACGUGGCGCGUGUAGGAUGAAUGCCCUAUGAAGUUGGACUAAUGUCGUAUAGGAAGUAACCUCGGGUUCAUAAAGAGCUGAUGGUACUAUAAGAAUAAGCAUCGGCUAAAGCCGUGCCAGCAGCCGCGGUAAGAGGGAGGAUGCGUGGGUUAUCCGGAUUUAUUGGGGUAAAGGGUUGGUAGGUGGGAGAAUUAGUCAGUUGUGUAAGCCUGCAGCUAAGCUGUAGAACUGCCAUGAUACUGUUCUUCUUGAAUAUAUAAGAAGUGGGCGGAAUGGGUCAGGUAGCGGGGAAAUGUACAGAUAUGACGCAGAACAGCGAUGGCGAAGGCAGCUCACUAAUAUAUUAUUGACGUUCAGGAACGAGGGCAGGGGGAGCGAACAGGAUUAGAUACCGUGGUAGUCCAUUCGAGAAACGAUGAUUACUCGAUGUGGUUUACCA
rnacentral:rRNA from 1 species